rnacentral:rRNA from 1 species
UUUUAUGGAGAGUUUGAUCCUGGCUCAGGACGAACGCUGGCGGCAUGCUUAACACAUGCAAGUCGAACGGGGUUGCUCAUCGAAAUCCUUCGGGAUGGACAUGAGUAUACCUAGUGGCGGACGGGUGAGUAACGCGUGGAUAACCUGCCCAAAAGACUGGGAUAACACCGGGAAACCGGUGCUAAUACCGGAUAAGCUCUUUAAUACA